rnacentral:lncRNA from 1 species
CUUCUCUGCAGUGGGAGCAGCUCUCCUGCCACAGCUCCUCACCCCCUGAAAAUGUUCGCCUGCUCCAAGUUUGUCUCCACUCCCUCCUUGGUCAAGAGCACCUCACAGCUGCUGAGCCGUCCGCUAUCUGCAGUGGUGCUGAAACGACCGGAGAUACUGACAGAUGAGAGCCUCAGCAGCUUGGCAGUCUCAUGUCCCCUUACCUCACUUGUCUCUAGCCGCAGCUUCCAAACCAGCGCCAUUUCAAGGGACAUCGACACAGCAGCCAAGUUCAUUGGAGCUGGGGCUGCCACAGUUGGGGUGGCUGGUUCUGGGGCUGGGAUUGGAACUGUGUUUGGGAGCCUCAUCAUUGGUUAUGCCAGAGUCUGACUCUGUCACCCAGGCUGGAGUGCAACUGUGUAAUCUCAGCUCACUGCAACCUCUGCCUCUCGGGUUCAAGCAAUUCUCUUGCCUCAGCCUCCCAAGUAGCUGGGAUUACAGGAACCCUUCUCUGAAGCAACAGCUCUUCUCCUACGCCAUUCUGGGCUUUGCCCUCUCGGAGGCCAUGGGGCUCUUUUGUCUGAUGGUAGCCUUUCUCAUCCUCUUUGCCAUGUGAAGGAGCCGUCUCCACCUCCCAUAGUUCUCCCGCGUCUGGUUGGCCCCGUGUGUUCCUUUUCCUAUACCUCCCCAGGCAGCCUGGGGAACGUGGUUGGCUCAGGGUUUGACAGAGAAAAGACAAAUAAAUACUGUAUUAAUAAG